rnacentral:rRNA from 1 species
UACGAAGGGGGCUAGCGUUGUUCGGAUUUACUGGGCGUAAAGCGCGUGUAGGCGGGUCGUUAAGUCGGGGGUGAAAUCCCGGGGCUCAACCUCGGAACUGCCUUCGAUACUGUAAGUCUCGAGUCCGGAAGAGGUGGGUGGAAUUCCUAGUGUAGAGGUGAAAUUCGUAGAUAUUAGGAAGAACACCAGUGGCGAAGGCGGCCCACUGGUCCGGUACUGACGCUGAGGUGCGAAAGCGUGGGGAGCAAACAGG